rnacentral:rRNA from 1 species
GACGAACGCUGGCGGCGUGCUUAACACAUGCAAGUCGAACGGAAAGGCCCUGCUUUUGUGGGGUGCUCGAGUGGCGAACGGGUGAGUAACACGUGAGUAACCUGCCCUUGACUUUGGGAUAACUUCAGGAAACUGGGGCUAAUACCGGAUAGGAGCUCCUGCUGCAUGGUGGGGGUUGGAAAGAGUCGGCGGUUGGGGAUGGACUCGCGGGUUAUCAGCUUGUUGGUGUGGUAGUGGCUUACCAAGGCUUUGACGGGUAGCCGGCCUGAGAGGGUGACCGGCCACAUUGGGACUGAGAUACGGCCCAGACUCCUACGGGAGGCAGCAGUGGGGAAUAUUGCACAAUGGGCGGAAGCCUGAUGCAGCAACGCCGCGUGCGGGAUGACGGCCUUCGGGUUGUAAACCGCUUUCGCCUGUGACGAAGCGUGAGUGACGGUAAUGGGUAAAGAAGCACCGGCUAACUACGUG